UCACAACAAUGUUAUCUCGCUCACGAAUGAAGAUGGCUCGAGUGACAACCGCCGAUGCAGCUUUGGAUUUGCAACGUUAAAAAUGCAGACACUACGCCAUCUACUCCGCUAUAUACGAGUAUAUUGGUACGAAGCUUUUUCUGUGAACCGCUGAUAAUGUUUUGGUAUGUCGUCAUACUACAAAUGACGUCACUCGGCUGGUUUUAUGGGCAAAUAAAGAUAAAAAAAUACGGGAAACGAAAGAACUACCGGAGGAAGAAAAUG